UUUCUCUGACAUCAAGAACUGUGUCUUUAACAGGGUUCUCAUGGACUGAACAGAGUCUGCUAUUCACGAUGCCUCUGACCUUCACCUUGGGUAAUCAGAAUAUGAAACAUUCUUUUGUAAGUUUUCCUACGACUCCCAUGAAUUUACUUGAGCGAGCUUUGCUGAUAAAGAUGGCAGCAACAAUCAUGUGCUCGGCUGAUGGAAUAAUUGUUGCUUUUCCUGAUGGCACCUCCCUUCUUUGUGGAAAUUUCCAAACAGAAGGACAGUAUCUGAUCCAGCCAGUGGUGUCUGAGUUUGCUGACAUCUAUUGGGGACUUUUAACAAAUUUACCCUACAGCAGCCUAAUGUCAACGUUCUUGGCCUGGAAGCCCUGGCUCCUGUGUCUGCGCUUCUGUGUUCCUCCUCCGGGUCCACCACACGUGACCCUGUUCUGCGACAGAGACGCCUCUGAAUGGUACCAGGAACCUUUCCUUUCCACUUUGAAGGAAACAACCUGGCAGCACCAAGUGAAAAAAUUGGGCGUGAUGAUGAAACGUUCCCUGGCAGCCACAGAUUCGAUUGCCACAGCAGCACUAGGUUUGUUUUCCUCCCAUACUCUUUACACAUGUAAUAUCUGUCAUUCAGGGUCUGAUCACAUAAUAAGUCUUAAAGGAAAAUGUACUGCAAUUUUCCAUAAAUCAGUGACCUUAGACAUUCUGAUGAGGCUCCUUGGUUUGUAAAAGUAACAAUCUUCAAACAUAUUUGUCAGCAUAUCUACAUUUCUUAAUUAAAUGGUUUUCUUUAUAUUGUUUGGUAAGAUAUUCCGAUUUAAUCUGUCAUAUUUCCAUUAACUGUAAGCAUAAAAUUAUUGUCAUUACUAGACUUAAAGACUUUAGUUAUGUGUUUCACUUUUUGAACUGAUUUACUAAAAUAAAUUAACAUUUAAUAUGCAAUGCAUAAAAAUAUUUUUAACGUUGAAUGUUCCCUCAUAAUGGAAUCGAUUUUAGUUUAACCAGGUUUUGCAAGAUAUUUUGCAGGACUGCCCACUAGACCUUUUGCUUGCUGCACCAGUAACAGAGACCUGCGUUAAAGCCACCUCUCUGGUUUUGCAGUGCCUGCGUCAAACAGAUUUUAAGGUCAGUAAAAGCAGAUUGCUCGAAAACAGGCUAAGUUUCUGGGUAGAAUAAUUUCAGCAGGAACGACUGGCAUGUCCCCAUGGAACAAGCUUUUGUCUCUCUCCAACAACACAUGGCUUUGGCUGCAGAGCUCUCCAUCCCUGAAUACAUUUUACAGUUCUUUGAGGAUAUUUCUGGAACAAACCUGACUGUUUUGUUUCAGAAAAAGGGGGAGGAAAAGGGCAUCACCCUUGUACACAACAGGCAGCUGGGAUACCUGCUGCCUGAUACAAAAACUGAACACAUAGUCAUGGGACAUUCACUGAGUUUCACCAUGACAGCGUUGAGGCAACAAACACUUUCCAAAGUCCUGAAAGCUCCAAACAUUUCAUUCACACACCAAGACAUAAAUAUGGCAGACUGUUUUUCAGAAGGAGAACCACACGUGUGUGCAGACCUGGUGGCAAAGACAGACAAGGUAACACCAGGACUUCAGCAGCUCCUCUGCUGGGACCAGAGGUGAGACAGUUCUUUACAGAUGGUUGUUGUUUCAGAAACAACACACAAGGGUUAAGAGCCUGGAAGAGGUGGUAAGAUGCCAAAAGGGGGCGCCACCUGAAGAGAAAAACGUGAAACAAAUGGGUGCUGGAGGGGCCCAGAUGGCAGGUUAAUUCUGCCUCCUGGGAAAAUACAAGAGCUGCUCCAAGAAGCUCACAGGGUUGGAUAUGUUGGGACGAAGCAGAUGAUGCACAAUCUUAAAGAGUGGUGGCACCCCCAAAUGAUCCACAUGGUGAAACAUUUUGUGAAAAAUUGUUCGGUGUGCGGACAGCUGAAUCCUAAGAAAACUUUGAAUCCACAUCAGGGACAGUUUCCUUCAGUCACAUGUCCAGGGAAAGAAAUUGUGUUGGAUUCUACUGACAUAAUAAACACGUUGCAAGACAAAAAUAUUUGCUGAUUUGUGUUGAUGCUUUCACAGGAUGGCCUGAAGCCUGGCCAGCAACAGCAGAAGAUAGUAAAAUCAUCAUAAAAUGUCUAAUCAAUCAUUACCUCCCAAGGCAAAGCAGAAUGAAUGAAUCAAAAUUUAAAACAAAAUUGGCUAAGGUUUGUGCACAAACAAAAUUAAAUUGGGUUGAUACAUUACACAGGAACCAACUUGUGGUUAGACUGAUUAACUGCAACAGCACGAUAAUAUCAAAUGUCUAACUGUGUGGCCUGCACAGCUGGACGACCCAGAAUCUAUACUGAACCUGCUUCUUUGAUUCCAUCUGACAUUUGGGGUUUUAACUGCAUGCUUAAUAUGACUAAGUUUAAACAGCCCUCUGGAGGUGACACUUUAACAGCUUUAUUUCCAGUAAUCAACAGCGGAGCCCGGAUGGUGCCGCUAUUCCAGUUAAAGAUAACUAUGUCUAUUUCAAUUUUACAACAGGUAACCGCAGUGUGGGCCGGAUCCCUGAAAGUUGGUGUAACAUCACAUUCCCACAGCACUUAAUAGGCUAGAGAUGGGAUAUUUUAUCUAUGCAGGGGUAAUAAACUAAUUGAGAGAACAUAGACUGGUGUGACAGGUGUCUGUGCUAUGGUGAGACUUAGAGCCUGUGUCAUCAUGGUAGGUGAACAACAACCUCUGAAUCACAGCAUCUUUUCACAGGUCAAGUGCAGCGAAACUGUGGAGCUGCAACUUUCCAGAUUUUAAAUGUAAAAAGUCCAAUCCUUUCUCGGUGUGCCUGGAUGAAAAUGAGGCAUCUGGACACACGUAGAAACUGGUUGACAUCAACAGAUACUAGACGACACAAUUUUGAAUUAAGUUUGCAGAUCUCAUUAAAACAAAUUAAUCCUGUUGACUUCUUAAGAUUUGGCCAGUAUCAUUACAUUGUGUUAAGACUGAAUUUUUAUCUAAAACAUUGAUUGCCAAGUUUAAAAUGUGUUUUCAUUUUGUUCACUAAACAUAUUUCUUUUCAGUUGGUAAGUUUGUAUCCCUUUAUGACCACUAACUACUUUUAUAUUUUGAACUUAAAGAUUUCACCUCUCGAGUACUAAAAGGGAUCUUAACAAUACUUUGUUUAGGAUUUUAUUUGUCAGUGUUAUAUCUAACAUUUAAUCAUUUAUCUUAUUCUCAUUAAGUUUUGGCUCAUCCAAGCUUUCAUAUUGACUAACAUUUUAUUCAUCUUGCAUUAUUCAAUUUAUAGUUUACCGGCAUUCACAGUAUUAACCUCACAUUGUAUUCUAUUUACAUUUUAUUGUUUGUUCACGUUUCACUAAUU